rnacentral:rRNA from 1 species
AACGAACGCUGGCGGCAUGCCUAACACAUGCAAGUCGAACGAGACCUUCGGGUCUAGUGGCGCACGGGUGCGUAACGCGUGGGAACCUGCCCUUAGGUUUGGAAUAACUCCCCGAAAGGGGUGCUAAUACCGGAUAAUGUCUUCGGACCAAAGAUUUAUCGCCUUUGGAUGGGCCCGCGUGGGAUUAGCUAGUUGGUAGGGUAAAAGCCUACCAAGGCGACGAUCCAUAGCUGGUCUGAGAGGAUGAUCAGCCACACUGGGACUGAGACACGGCCCAGACUCCUACGGGAGGCAGCAGUGGGGAAUAUUGGACAAUGGGCGAAAGCCUGAUCCAGCAAUGCCGCGUGAGUGAUGAAGGCCUUAGGGUUGUAAAGCUCUUUUAACCGGGAUGAUAAUGACAGUACCGGGAGAAUAAGCGCCGGCUAACUCCGUG